AGCUCCUUUCUUUGGCAGAGAAGGGAGAAUGCUUUUCACAAGAACUGUAUUACCAUAUUUUCCUAUUUCACUUUUUUGGGCUUUUCUGACAGCUUCAAGUUCUCCACCCAAUUCCUGAUACAUAUUGGUAUUACUGGUACUGCAGUACUUGAAUUAAUUUUCUAUAAAUAUGAAAACCAGAACACACAGAUGAUGCCUAGGGAUGAAGGAGACUCGAGAUCUUGGCUUUCACCUGGGUACCGUGUAGAGGAGCCUGACGCCAAGGCACGUGGAGGAUAAGAAGAAAGAAUAUGAGGAGCGUAGCCGAGAAUCUGAAAGUAAGCCCGCGGCCUUUCGAAAGCCUAGAGUGACAGGAAGAACAGAACCCAAUAGCGAGAAGUAGGUACGUACCUCAAGUCAAUUCAGUUAAGUAAGGUAGGAAAGACUAGCUAGGAUUGAAAAUAGUUAAGCAGUCAAAAAAGAGGUUUUACUUAAUGAACUAGCCUAUCUGCCAACCUACGAGUCAAGUACGGGAUCAGAUCUCAUAGUUUCAUAACUGAAUAGGAAGUCGACUUUUCUUUACCACUCUCAUCAGCACUGAAGGGUAUUGUUCAGAAGAAGAAGAGAAAUCGAACAACUGUUACUACUGUACCCUAUUUGUUAUUCUUCAACUACAACUACCGCACCCGAAACUGUAACUCCUACUUUGCGUUUAGUUUCUGUCCUUGCAGCUCCUUCAUCUUCAACUGAAACUGUCCCGCCCCUGAGCCUUUUUCUGGGACUGUGCCUUCCUACCCUAUACAGUUGGUCAAUAAGCUACCUCCCCUCCUCGAUGACGACAGUUACCCGCGGAACUAAUAGGAAGAGCUGCUAGAGAUAGAGGAAUACAAAAUGGUUAUGCCAAUUGUUAGCCAUAGUGAAAGUAGGAGAACGAAGCCUUAUAUUCUCAGCUCAAUCCCUUGCUUAUUUAAAUCCUAUGCUUGUUUGAACGCGCUGCUCAAUAUCCCUUGCUUCUUUGUCGGCGAUUUUGCUUGGCUUGGGGGAUUAAAAUACAUACACGGCUAGUAGAGUUUAUGAAUGCCCCUAAUGAAUAUGUGAAGGAAAUGAAAUCACUUUUAUGCUCUAAGGUCAAGAAGUUUCUUAGCAUUUAUGCUAUGGGGCGGAGCGUUGCAGUUAUAAUUGAAUCUAAUUACUAGUUGCUAGUGCCUAGUUGUACCGAUUCCUUCAGUUCAACUGUGAUCAGUUUAUCCGGUGGGAACAGAAUUCAUAGUUGGACAGCGAAGAUAGAAUUCAUAGUUUGUUGUGAACACGCUUUCGAUAUCAUAUAGAAUGUUUUUUUUUAGCGCCCGGUGCCCUUUCGCUCAAAGAAGCGUGAUUCAAUGCUGCGCUAUUUCCGACAAGAAGGAAAAGAUGAUCCCACCUCCUGCUUCUGUGACGUCUUAACCUCUUUCUUAGGGAAGUAAUGAAGAUGGCAUCGAAUAAGCUCUUUGAUCUUGAUGCAAGUUUGCAAGUGAAGAAGAAUGCUUGAGAUUCCAAGUAAGGGCAUUCUCUCCAUUAUGGAGCUAGGCUAGAUAGGAAAAACCUCAGUUUAGAUUUACAUAAUAAGGGUUUUGAGAUUGACUUAGUCUAUUCAGUGAAUAGGCGGAUCGAACUCAAAGCAAGGUGUAAAGCGGUAAGGCAUUACGCUGUGGUCAAUCUUCAGAUAUAGAGUAGGUACCGAACCGGAGUCAGAGUGAACAGCGGUAUUUCAUUCAGUCAGCUUGGCUUUUCUAUAGUUGGCCUUUUUGUCUACCUUCUUGAGUCAAUGUCACAUUGGUCCAUUCCGGUCUUCAGUAAGUCAGUGUUCACCAAGCAAGCUGGAGCACCUUUCACUCUCGGACAUAAAGGCUUUUAUCCAAUUCAUUCACAGGAAGGGUAGAAGAAGCGAUCUGCGCAUUUCUUUAUUUCACAACGGACGUUAGAUAAAUCAUUUCUUAGGUAUGCUACAUUCUUAGAAUAAAGAGUAGGUUAUUACAAUAUGUCUAGUUGUUGAACAGGGCCCUUUCUUAAAAAAGAAAUAGUUAGAUUAUAUUAUGCCCAUGCUUUAUUAACAACACAAGUGAAGAUAAAUAGUAGUAAGUAAGCUUUCUACCACUAGUAGUACUAUGGUUGCUUUCUACCACUAGUCGUUGAAUCUUCCUAUUCCACUUACAGUACCUCUCGGUGUCCAAUGGUUAGGACCAGAUGUAAGCUUGUAUCAACAAGUUUUGUAUAAGAUUAUGAGAUGUAGUUGAAACAAAGCUUUGCUCCUCUCAUAGUUUUGUUGUUUCCUAUUGUUUUGCUUCCUUCAAUUACCCAACAACUGGUAUCAGAGCACACUAACACUAGGAACCUUCACGGUAAGGGAUUAUUAGACCACUAUGAACAUUUGUAAUUGGUUCAUUCUACUUCAGGCAUGGUUCACUCUAGUUAGUGGAAGAGUGUACAACAUAGGGAUUGGUAUCAGUCACACAUUUAGGAAUCAAAGUCAAAAGGUAUACUU
rnacentral:lncRNA from 1 species